UGGCGAACGGGCGAGUAACACGUGGGUGAUCUGCCCUGCACUUUGGGAUAAGCCUGGGAAACUGGGUCUAAUACCAGAUAGGACCAUGCUUUGGAUGGUGUGGUGGAAAGUUUUUUCGGUGUAGGAUGAGCUCGCGGCCUAUCAGCUUGUUGGUGGGGUAAUGGCCUACCAAGGCGUCGACGGGUAGCCGGCCUGAGAGGGUGUACGGCCACAUUGGGACUGAGAUACGGCCCAG
rnacentral:rRNA from 1 species